UACGGGGGGGAGCAAGCGUUGUUCGGAUUUACUGGGCGUAAAGGGCGCGUAGGCGGCUGUGACAAGUCACUUGUGAAAUCUCCGGGGCUUAACUCGGAACGGUCAAGUGAUACUGUCGGACUAGAGUACAGAAGGGGGCAACUGGAAUUCUCGGUGUAGCGGUGAAAUGCGUAGAUAUCGGGAGGAACACCAGUGGCGAAGGCGACUACCUGGCCUGUUCUUGACGCUGAGGCGCGAAAGCUAGGGGAGCAAACGGGG
rnacentral:rRNA from 1 species